rnacentral:rRNA from 1 species
CACGUAGGGUGCGAGCGUUGUCCGGAAUUAUUGGGCGUAAAGAGCUCGUAGGCGGUGUGUCGAGUCGGCCGCGAAAACCUGCAGCUUAACUGUGGGCUUGCGGUCGAUACGGGCAUCACUGGAGUUCGGCAGGGGAGACUGGAAUUCCUGGUGUAGCGGUGAAAUGCGCAGAUAUCAGGAGGAACACCGGUGGCGAAGGCGGGUCGCUGGGCCGAUACUGACGCUGAGGAGCGAAAGCGUGGGGAGCGAACAGG